UACGUAGGGUGCAAGCGUUGUCCGGAAUUAUUGGGCGUAAAGAGCUCGUAGGCGGUUUGUCGCGUCUGCUGUGAAAUCUUAGGGCUUAACCCUGAGCUUGCAGUGGGUACGGGCAGACUAGAGUGCGGUAGGGGAGACUGGAAUUCCUGGUGUAGCGGUGAAAUGCGCAGAUAUCAGGAGGAACACCGGUGGCGAAGGCGGGUCUCUGGGCCGUAACUGACGCUGAGGAGCGAAAGCAUGGGGAGCAAACAGG
rnacentral:rRNA from 1 species